CACUAUAAGAACACAGCGGCAUGAGAUUUGAGUAGCCGGGGCUAAUUCUGCGCAAACUUGGCGUCUUACGGUGGAGAAAGCUGCAGAAACUCCGGCAGACAUUAGUGUGAAAAACAUUUGGAAAUAUAAGGAGACAGAGCAGCAUAUGUGUCUCAUUUGUGUGGGCGAGGAGCGCAGAGGAGAGUGUGCCCGGCUACAGUCCCAAGGCAAAGCGGCAGCUCUACACAUGGCAACUUGGCAAGAUAUAUAGUGGCCACUGGCCAGUGGGCUUGUGUGUGUGGAUUUAUGGGAUCAUGUGCCCCCCUCUACUGACUCCAGUAGAAGGUGUAGGCACCAGAAAGGUUGUUAAUAAACAGAGAAGAAUUUCUUUGGUGGUGAGGUCCUGGAAGCUGGAGUAUUCUGGAAAGAACAU